CAGCCGCCGCGGGAAUACGUAGGGCGCAAGCGUUAUCCGGAAUUAUUGGGCGUAAAGAGCUCGUAGGCGGUUUGUCGCGUCUGCCGUGAAAGUCCGGGGCUCAACCCCGGAUCUGCGGUGGGUACGGGCAGACUAGAGUGAUGUAGGGGAGACUGGAAUUCCUGGUGUAGCGGUGAAAUGCGCAGAUAUCAGGAGGAACACCGAUGGCGAAGGCAGGUCUCUGGGCAUUAACUGACGCUGAGGAGCGAAAGCAUGGGGAGCGAACAGGAUUAGAUACCCGAGUAGUCCCUGUCUCUUAUAC
rnacentral:rRNA from 1 species